AGCUACACAAGGAGAUGAGGAUGGUCAUUGUCAUUUUCUGAGCUGCGAAAGGGCAGAAAGCUACACAAGGAGAUCAGGAUGGUCAUUGUUAUUUUGUGAGCUGCAAACGGGCAGGAAGCUACAGAAGGAGAUGAGGAUGGUCAUUGUCUGUUUCUGAGCUGCGAAAGGGCAGAAAG